AGAUCCUGGUCUUCAUCCUUUGGAUUAACACCAAAGGAGAUUAGAACCUAUUUGUGCCUGCUUCCUAAGCAUACUUAGUGUAGUCUUAUGCUAAAAGAUAAAUAGAUGUUUUGGGGCAAAAUAUUUUACCUUGAAUUGUAUGGAAAAACACCAAGGUGUUCAAACAUUUGACACUUAUUCCAAGACUUUACCUAUUAAAGUACAUCCUUAUAUAACUAUAGGUAUGUAUUUGAAUUACAUCAAUA
rnacentral:lncRNA from 1 species